rnacentral:rRNA from 1 species
UACGAGGGGGGCAAGCGUUGUUCGGAAUUACUGGGCGUAAAGCGCACGUAGGCGGCUUUGUAAGUUAGAGGUGAAAGCCCGGGGCUCAACUCCGGAACUGCCUUUAAGACUGCAUCGCUUGAAUCCAGGAGAGGUGAGUGGAAUUCCGAGUGUAGAGGUGAAAUUCGUAGAUAUUCGGAAGAACACCAGUGGCGAAGGCGGCUCACUGGACUGGUAUUGACGCUGAGGUGCGAAAGCGUGGGGAGCAAACAGG